rnacentral:lncRNA from 1 species
GAAUAUUUGAAUGCAUAAAUAACUCAGGCAAAGCAAGUGGGAAUUCAAGUUUAGAGAAAACUUGUGUUGAUUCAUGAUUCAUCUCACCAAUAACAGCAGAAUGAGCAACUACAUCCUCAGGUGCAAGAGUGGGGACAUAAGAGGGUGGGAAGUAGAUGGCACAGUAGUAAGCUCAUGACUCUACUGCCCAUCUCCUAUGUGAAUGACACUGACAUCAUCAAGAAUCUGAACAGUCUGAAAUGGUGAUCCCUCUAAAACUUGAGACUGUUCCUUAAUGAACUGUGUGGCCAUCUACCCCCGGAACUCAUUCAAUGUAGGCUAAGAAGAAGUAGAAGGUUGAGUAGCUGGUUGGGCAGGUGCCUCUUGCUGUUGUUGUUGCCUCUUAUUUUGCUGUUGUGGUUGCCUGUUAUUGUAGAUGUUUGGAGCAUAAGCUUGAGGCACAUGACGAGCAACAAGGUGCUGCAAAGAAGGACAUGCAUCCGUUAGUGGUCACUGGAAGGACAUAUAACACACAGCCGUGCAACAAAGGCAGAUGGAGGUGUUGGUCUUUGGUUGGAUGCCAGCUGUGUCGCCAAACUCAUAAGAGAAUCAAGCUAGCUCUCCAAUUUCC